rnacentral:rRNA from 1 species
AUUGAACGCUGGCGGCAUGCCUUACACAUGCAAGUCGAACGGCAGCACGGGAGCAAUCCUGGUGGCGAGUGGCGAACGGGUGAGUAAUGUAUCGGAAUCUGCCUCGUUGUGGGGGAUAACGUAGGGAAACUUACGCUAAUACCGCAUACGACCUACGGGUGAAAGUGGGGGACCUUCGGGCCUCACGCGAUGAGAUGAGCCGAUGCCGGAUUAGCUAGUUGGCGGGGUAAAGGCCCACCAAGGCGACGAUCCGUAGCUGGUCUGAGAGGAUGAUCAGCCACACUAGGACUGAGACACGGUCCAGACUCCUACGGGAGGCAGCAGUGGGGAAUAUUGGACAAUGGGGGCAACCCUGAUCUAGCCAUGCCGCGUGUGUGAAGAAGGCC